rnacentral:rRNA from 1 species
AGAGUUUGAUCCUGGCUCAGGAUGAACGCUGGCGGCGUGCAUAACGCAUGCAAGUUGAGCGGGCACAUACUUUCGGGUAUGUGUCAGCGGCGAACGGGUGAGUAACACGUGGGCAACCUGCCAUCUGGAAGGGGAUAACCUGCGGAAACGUGGGCUAAUACCGUAUAAGCUCUGUUGUUUCAAGGAAGAGCAGAGGAAAGUAGUGAUACGCCGGAUGAGGGGCCUGCGGCCCAUCAGCUAGUUGGUGUAGUAGCGGUGCACCAAGGCGAAGACGGGUAGCUGGUCUGAGAGGAUGAUCAGCCACACUGGGACUGAGACACGGCCCAGACUCCUACGGGAGGCAGCAGCGAGGAAUUUUCCGCAAUGGGCAAAGAUGCCUGACGGAGCAACGCCGCGUGGAGGAAGAAGCGUUUCGGCGUGUAAACUUCUUUUGGACGGGAAGAUGAUGACGGUACCGUUCGAAUAAGCCCCGGCUAACUACGUGCCAGCAGCCGCGGUAACACGUAGGGGGCGAGCGUUGUCCGGAAUUAUUGGGCGUAAAGAGCGCGCAGGCGGCCGAGCAAAGUCGACUGGUGAAAUACCCCCGGCUCAACCGGGGGGUGACUGGCGAUACUUGUGGGCUUUGAGUAGGGGAGAGGGGAGUGGAAUUCCCGGUGUAGUAGUGAAAUGCGUAGAUAUCGGGAGGAACACCAGUGGCGAAGGCGACUCUCUGGCCCCUUUACUGACGCUGAGGCGCGAAGGCUGGGGGAGCGAACGGGAUUAGAUACCCCGGUAGUCCCAGCAGUAAACGAUGGACACUCGGUGUCGGUGGUGUUGACCCCACCGGUGCCCAAGCAAACGCAUUAAGUGUCCCGCCUGGGGAGUACGGUCGCAAGGCUAAAACUCAAAGGAAUUUGACGGGGGCCCGCACAAGCAGCGGAGCGUGUGGUUUAAUUCGAUGCGACGCGAAGAACCUUACCAAGGCUUGACAUACAUAUGUAACGAUGUGGAAACACAUUGCCCUAUCGGGUAACCGGUAGCAUAUGUACAGGUGUUGCAUGGCUGUCGUCAGCUCGUGCCGUGAGGUGUUGGGUUAAGUCCCGCAACGAGCGCAACCCUUAUUGCAAGUUGUAUGUUUCUUGCAAGACUGCCGGAAGAAGUCCGGAGGAAGGUGGGGAUGACGUCAAGUCAGCAUGACCCUUACGUCUUGGGCUACACACACGCUACAAUGGCCGGUACAAAGGGUAGCCAAGGGGUGACCCGGAGCCAAUCCCCGUAAAAGCCGGCCUCAGUUGGAAUUAGAGGCUGAAACCCGCCUCUAUGAACGAGGAGUUGCUAGUAACCGCAGGUCAGCAUUACUGCGGUGAAUAUGUUCCCGGGCCUUGCACUCACCGCCCGUC